UUGCCCACCAUGUGUUUGAGUUAAGCUCCCAAUGAUACCACUCCAUUGUUUUCUUGUCUACAAUUACUACUUUAGGAGGAUAUGUUGACUUACAAGUAAUUUUAUCAUUAUUUUCUGUUUUGAUUGUCAACAAUGUAGGUUUUCUUUAACGAUUUUACGUUCAUUUAAUUCAAUCUUAUGACUUGGUUGUUGUUUACUGCAUGCUUGGUUGUUGUACCAGGCAAAAUCAUUAGCUGAGAGGAACCAACGGGAUCUACAAACUCAAGGAGAGCAAGCUGAGAGACAUAGGCUUGCAGAGACACUGGAUUUUGAAAUUAAGCGCUGGGCUGCAGGAAAUGAAGGGAACUUGCGUGCUUUGCUCUCCACCUUACACUACGUACGUACUUUGUUGAUAUAGUUUGGUAAUCUCUGAACUUUCUAUAUUCCAGAUCUAUAGUGGCCAUAAGUAUAAUGACUUGGAUUAUCUAUUUAUCUUCCACCAUUUUAUUUAUAACAAGUGUAUAUUUAACAUGUUCUGCAAAAUUAUACAUGUAUCACUGAGAUUUUGUGGCCAUAAUUUAUUUUAUUUUGAUAACAAGUGCGUAAUUUACAUCUUCUAAAAAAUGAUACAUGUAUCCCAAAAAUGUUGAUACAUAUUAUUUUGUUAAUACCUCAAAGUUGCCCACCAUUUGUUUGAUUUAAGCUCCUAAUAAUACAACUCCAUUUUUUUCUUAUCUACAAUUACUACUUUAGGAAGAUAUUUUGACUUACAAGUAAUUUUAUCGUUAUUUUCUAUUUUGAUUGUCAACAAUGUAGCUUUUCUUUAAUGAUUUUACGCUCAUUUAAUUCAAUCUUAUGACUUGGUUGUUGUUUACUGCAUGCUCGGUUGUUGUACCAGGCAAAAGCAUUAGCAGAGAAGAACCAGCGGGAUCUACAAACUCAAAGAGCAAGCUGAGAGACACAGGCUUGCAGAGACAUUGGAUUUUGAAAUUAAGCGCUGGGCUGCAAGAAAAGAGGGGAACUUGCGGGCUUUGCCCUCCACUUUACAAUAUGUGCUGUGGCCUGAAUGUGGUUGGCAACCAGUUUUUUUAACUGAUUUAAUUAUAGGCGCUGCUGUUAAAAAGGCUUAUAGGAAAGCUACACUGUGCAUUCAUCCUAAUAAAGUGCAACAGAAGGGUGCCACUCUUCAAUAGAAAUAUAUUGCUGAGAAGG